rnacentral:rRNA from 1 species
AUGUGGGAAGGCCCAGACAGCCAGGAUGUUGGCUUAGAAGCAGCCAUCAUUUAAAGAAAGCGUAAUAGCUCACUGGUCGAGUCGGCCUGCGCGGAAGAUGUAACGGGGCUAAACCAUGCACCGAAGCUGCGGCAGCGACGCUGAUGCGUUGUUGGGUAGGGGAGCGUUCUGUAAGCCUGUGAAGGUGUGCUGUGAGGCAUGCUGGAGGUAUCAGAAGUGCGAAUGCUGACAUAAGUAACGAUAAAGCGGGUGAAAAGCCCGCUCGCCGGAAGACCAAGGGUUCCUGUCCAACGUUAAUCGGGGCAGGGUGAGUCGACCCCUAAGGCGAGGCCGAAAGGCGUAGUCGAUGGGAAACAGGUUAAUAUUCCUGUACUUGGUGUUACUGCGAAGGGGGGACGGAGAAGGCUAUGUUGGCCGGGCGACGGUUGUCCCGGUUUAAGCGUGUAGGCUGGUUUUCCAGGCAAAUCCGGAAAACUAAGGCUGAGGCGUGAUGACGAGGCACUACGGUGCUGAAGCAACAAAUGCCCUGCUUCCAGGAAAAGCCUCUAAGCAUCAGGUAACAUCAAAUCGUACCCCAAACCGACACAGGUGGUCAGGUAGAGAAUACCAAGGCGCUUGAGAGAACUCGGGUGAAGGAACUAGGCAAAAUGGUGCCGUAACUUCGGGAGAAGGCACGCUGAUAUGUAGGUGAAGUCCCUCGCGGAUGGAGCUGAAAUCAGUCGAAGAUACCAGCUGGCUGCAACUGUUUAUUAAAAACACAGCACUGUGCAAACACGAAAGUGGACGUAUACGGUGUGACGCCUGCCCGGUGCCGGAAGGUUAAUUGAUGGGGUCAGCGCAAGCGAAGCUCUUGAUCGAAGCCCCGGUAAACGGCGGCCGUAACUAUAACGGUCCUAAGGUAGCGAAAUUCCUUGUCGGGUAAGUUCCGACCUGCACGAAUGGCGUAAUGAUGGCCAGGCUGUCUCCACCCGAGACUCAGUGAAAUUGAACUCGCUGUGAAGAUGCAGUGUACCCGCGGCAAGACGGAAAGACCCCGUGAACCUUUACUAUAGCUUGACACUGAACAUUGAGCCUUGAUGUGUAGGAUAGGUGGGAGGCUUUGAAGUGUGGACGCCAGUCUGCAUGGAGCCGACCUUGAAAUACCACCCUUUAAUGUUUGAUGUUCUAACGUUGACCCGUAAUCCGGGUUGCGGACAGUGUCUGGUGGGUAGUUUGACUGGGGCGGUCUCCUCCUAAAGAGUAACGGAGGAGCACGAAGGUUGGCUAAUCCUGGUCGGACAUCAGGAGGUUAGUGCAAUGGCAUAAGCCAGCUUGACUGCGAGCGUGACGGCGCGAGCAGGUGCGAAAGCAGGUCAUAGUGAUCCGGUGGUUCUGAAUGGAAGGGCCAUCGCUCAACGGAUAAAAGGUACUCCGGGGAUAACAGGCUGAUACCGCCCAAGAGUUCAUAUCGACGGCGGUGUUUGGCACCUCGAUGUCGGCUCAUCACAUCCUGGGGCUGAAGUAGGUCCCAAGGGUAUGGCUGUUCGCCAUUUAAAGUGGUACGCGAGCUGGGUUUAGAACGUCGUGAGACAGUUCGGUCCCUAUCUGCCGUGGGCGCUGGAGAACUGAGGGGGGCUGCUCCUAGUACGAGAGGACCGGAGUGGACGCAUCACUGGUGUUCGGGUUGUCAUGCCAAUGGCACUGCCCGGUAGCUAAAUGCGGAAGAGAUAAGUGCUGAAAGCAUCUAAGCACGAAACUUGCCCCGAGAUGAGUUCUCCCUGACUCCUUGAGAGUCCUGAAGGAACGUUGAAG